GAUGAACGCUGGCGGCGUGCCUAAUACAUGCAAGUCGAACGAAUCUUCUUCGGAAGAUGAGUGGCGAACGGGUGAGUAAUGCAUAGGUAACCUGCCCCUGUGCGGGGGAUAACAGGAGGAAACUCCUGCUAAUACCGCAUAGCCAUGAGCACCGCAUGGAGCUCAUGCCAAAUAUCCUUUCGGGGAUAGCGCAGGGAUGGACCUAUGGCGCAUUAGCUGGUUGGCGGGGCAACGGCCCACCAAGGCAACGAUGCGUAGCCGGCCUGAGAGGGGGGACGGCCACGUUGGGACUGAGACACGGCCCAGACUCCUACGGGAGGCAGCAGUAGGGAAUUUUCGGCAAUGGGGGAAACCCUGACCGAGCAACGCCGCGUGAGCGAAGAAGGCCUUCGGGUCGUAAAGCUCUGUUGUAAAGGAAGAACGGCGCAUACAGGAAAUGGCAUGCGAGUGACGGUACUUUACCAGAAAGCCACGGCUAACUACGUGCCAGCCGCCGCCGUAA
rnacentral:rRNA from 1 species